AGUAACGCGUGGGUAACCUGCCUUAUACAGGGGGAUAACAGUCAGAAAUGGCUGCUAAUACCGCAUAAGCGCACAGAGCUGCAUGGCUCAGUGUGAAAAACUCCGGUGGUAUAAGAUGGACCCGCGUUGGAUUAGCUAGUUGGUGGGUAACGGCCCACCAAGGCGACGAUCCAUAGCCGGCCUGAGAGGGUGAACGGCCACAUUGGGACUGAGACACGGCCCAG
rnacentral:rRNA from 1 species